GUGCUACCUUGAAGAUGGGAUAAAGAUGGACACAAAGGUGAACCUGGCCUUGUUGUGGAUGAAUAUUGAAGAUAUGCUCAAGAGGAGAGAGAAGCCAGCAGGGGUGCACCUGAGGGGGUGAUUCUGAGUAGGAUGGAGGCUGAGGCAGCUUGCCUGCAUCCUGUGUGGGUAGGAGACCCCCCAAAACACCCACCCACACACAUCUCCCCUGACUGAUCCUGCCUCACAUCUAAGCAUCUUUGGAUGAUUCCGUUCCUUCUCACAUACCAGUUCUGGACAGGCUGUGGACAAACUGCCCAUCACCUAUGUGAAGCUGUGCACACCUCCACAAUAGGGUCACACAAUGAAGGAACAGAAUUCAAAAUCUUUGAAAUGAAAAUUGGUGCCCAAGGUUGGAGACGCACUUACCUCCAGCUCAUGCGGAAACCAUUACGGUCUGUGGCCCGAAGUUCACACACGCUGACACACCAGGCCGGACUCCAUUCCUUUACCUAGGCCCAGGAGCCCAGGAAAACUGCAUCCAGCUGCUGGUUAUAGCUGUGACUGCAUAGUGGGAACAAUUGCAACCAGGUUGCAGGGGAAGCAGAUCCUGGCCCCAACCAGCUCACACUGGCCUCCUCCCUACUGGUCUACAAGCACAGUCCAGCCUGGGGCCUGGCACCAGCAAGCCAGCCUUGAGGAAAUGGAGAGAAAAGAUCUCACCAGAGAAGCCUCUCUGGUGAAGGCUGGAGGUCAGAAGUGCACGUACCACUUUGACUUGGAUGAGAAUCCUUCCGUGCUGUGAGAAGAUUUCUCCAUCAGGAGCUAAGUUUCUGCUUCCACAGCUGCCAUUCCAAGGCCAACGGGUCUGUGUGAUGACCAGACAGAAUGUCACCCACCCCACCUCAGACUCCUUCCCGCUUCAUUCUCCCUGCUGUUGCAGAGCCCUUGGCUCGGAGACUCAAUUCCAUGGCCUUCUGCAGCCUGCACAAGCCUGCAGACACCUCCCCUGGGCGCAGGCAAGAGUGGUCAGGCCUUUUGGACCUCAGGGUUCUGCCCAGGAAUAUCCUAGGACACUCGGACGGUGGCAAGCAUGGAGGGACGACACCGUGUCCUGCUCUGGACUCAGUGUUCAGGGACAUAGACGCGUAACGACAGUCCUCCUGGGAGCCGAGACUGCAGUUUGA
rnacentral:lncRNA from 1 species